rnacentral:rRNA from 1 species
GGGCCCAAAAACAGGAUAUCUGUUUGAUUGUCUUCCCCAUUGGAUAACCGUGGGAAAUCUAGAGCUAAUACAUGCAGUUUAUUGGUCUUGCCGAAAGGCUUGAUCAAAGCAUUUAUUAGACUUAACCAUCUACUGCGUGGCAACACGUGGUAAGGCGAAUCUAGAUAACUUUGCUGAUCGUAUGGCCUUGUGCCGACGACGUUUCAAUUGAGUUUCUGCCCUAUCAAUUUGUUGGUAAGGUAUUGGCUUACCAAGGUUGCAACGGGUAACGGGGAAUCAGGGUUCGAUUCCGGAGAGGGAGCCUGAGAAACGGCUACCACAUCCAAGGAAGGCAGCAGGCGCGCAAAUUACCCAAUCUAGACAGUAGGAGGUGGUGAAGAGAAGUACCGGGUGGUGGUCAAUGACUACCAACUUGGAAUGAACGUAAUUUAAGCAAUUCGAUGAGUAACUACUGGAGGGCAAGUCCUGGUGCCAGCAGCCGCGGUAAUUCCAGCUCCAGUGGCGUGAUUUAAAGUUGCUGCGUUUAAAACGCUCGUAGUUGGAUCACGCAGUAGUAUUCAGUAAUCUGGGCCAAUGCAUGUGACGAUGGCCUCAGGGUUUAUCGGAUCUACAUUGGCUUAGAUGUUUAUGCUGAAUGCUACUAUUUGCACACAAGUGUGGUAUUUGGCCUUAAGUGAGUUGAGUAUCAUGCCUUGUGGAGUGUGCCUUGAAUAAAACAGAGUGCUCAAAGCAGGCGAAAGCUUGAAUGUUAUAGCAUGGAACGAACAAACGUGUAUUUGCGUAUGUUUAGUAAUGAUUGGGGGCAACCUUGAUUAUUGCUAGCGUGCGCAGCACCCACCAAAAUACGGAUGUUGGUUUUCGUAUCAGGUGAUGAUUAACAGGAGCGGUUGGGGGCAUUGGUAUUUGGCCGCGAGAGGUGAAAUUCUUGGACCGGCCAAGGACUAACAGAUGCGAAGGCGUUUGUCUAGACCGUUUCCAUUAAUCAAGAACGAAAGUGAGAGGUUCGAAGACGAUCAGAUACCGUCCUAGUUCUCACCUUAAACUAUGCCGACCUGGGAUCAGCUUAGUGAUUUGCAAGCACUAAGUUGGUCCCCCUGGGAAACCUCAAGUUUUUCGGUUACGGGGAGAGUAUGGUCGCAAGUCUGAAACUUAAAGGAAUUGACGGAAGGGCACCACCAGGGGUGGAGCCUGCGGCUUAAUUUGACUCAACACGGGGAAACUUACCUGGUCCGGACAUCGAAAGGAUAGACAGACUGAUAGAUCUUUCUUGAUGCGGUGAGUGGUGGUGCAUGGCCGUUCUUAGUUCGUGGAGCGAUCUGUCAGGUUUAUUCCGGUAACGAACGAGACCACCUUCUCCAUUUAGGAUACGGUAGUAGAAGGCCGGGGUGCGGCCUCGGUCGUUUCCCUGGUCUUUGCAGGUAAAAUUAUUGAAUUUCAGAGGUGCGAUGCGAAGGGGCAACUCUUUGUGUUGUAUUUUUGAAAGGAUGUGAUUUUCCCUACCGUUAUGCAGUGGUGGGCAAAACCUACACGCUGCCUUAUGGAGAGACAACAGGUAUAUAAAAGCCUGAGGAAGUGUGGCUAUACAGGUCUGGGAUGCCUAAAAAUGUCCUGGAA